rnacentral:rRNA from 1 species
UACAGAGGGGGCAAGCGUUUAUUCGGAAUUAUUGGGCGUAAAGGGCGCGUAGGCGGCGCAACAAGUCACUUGUGAAAUCUCCGGGCUUAACCCGGAGCGGUCAAGUGAUACUGUCGUGCUAGAGUGCGGAAGGGGCUACUGGAAUUCUCGGUGUAGCGGUGAAAUGCGUAGAUAUCGAGAGGAACACCUGCGGCGAAGGCGGGUAGCUGGGCCGACACUGACGCUGAUGCGCGAAAGCCAGGGGAGCGAACGGG